rnacentral:rRNA from 1 species
UACGUAGGUUACAAGCGUUGUCCGGAUUUACUGGGCGUAAAGAGCGCGCAGGCGGUCGUUCAAGUCGCGUGUGAAAGCCCCGGCUCAACUGGGGAGGGUCACGCGAUACUGAUCGACUGGAAGGCAGGAGAGGGUAGUGGAAUUCCCGGUGUAGUGGUGAAAUGCGUAGAUAUCGUAAGGAAGACCAGUGGCGAAGGCGGGUCUCUGGACAGUUCCUGACGCUGAGGCACGAAGGCCAGGGGAGCAAACGGG